rnacentral:rRNA from 1 species
CAGCAGCCAGCGGGAAUACCGAGGGUGCGAGCGUUAAUCGGAUUUACUGGGCGUAAAGCGUGCGUAGGCGGCUUCUUAAGUCGGAUGUGAAAUCCCUGAGCUUAACUUAGGAAUUGCAUUCGAUACUGGGAAGCUAGAGUAUGGGAGAGGAUGGUAGAAUUCCAGGUGUAGCGGUGAAAUGCGUAGAGAUCUGGAGGAAUACCGAUGGCGAAGGCAGCCAUCUGGCCUAAUACUGACGCUGAGGUACGAAAGCAUGGGGAGCAAACAGGAUUAGAUACCCCUGUAGUCCCUGUCUCUUAUA